GGAGUCUGCAACUCGACUCCAUGAAGCUGGAUUCGCUAGUAAUCGCGCAUCAGCCAUGGCGCGGUGAAUACGUUCCCGGGCCUUGUACACACCGCCCGUCAAGCCAUGGGAGUCGGGAGUGCCUGAAGUUCGUGACCGUCACAGGAGCGACCUAAGGCAAGACCGAUGACUGGGGCUAAGUCGUAACAAGGUAAC
rnacentral:rRNA from 1 species